CCUACGGGGGGCAGCAGUGAGGAAUAUUGGUCAAUGGGCUUACGCCUGAACCAGCCAAGUCGCGUGAGGGAAGACUGCCCUAUGGGUUGUAAACCUCUUUUGUCAGGGAGCAACGCCGGCUACGUGUAGCCGGACUGAGAGUACCUGAAGAAAAAGCAUCGGCUAACUCCGUGCCAGCAGCCGCGGUAAUACGGAGGAUGCGAGCGUUAUCCGGAUUUAUGGGGUUUAAAGGGUGCGUAGGCGGAAUGCCAAGUCAGCGGUAAAAUCGCGGGGCUCAACCUCGCUCCGCCGUUGAAACUGGCGUUCUUGAGUGGGCGAGAAGUAUGCGGAAGGCGUGGUGUAGCGGUGAAAUGCAUAGAUAUCACGCAGAACUCCGAUUGCGAAGGCAGCAUACCGGCGCCCAACUGACGCUGAAGCACGAAGGCGUGGGUAUCGAACAGGAUUAGAUACCCCUGUAGUC
rnacentral:rRNA from 1 species